rnacentral:lncRNA from 1 species
UAAAAAUCCAAGAAUUUGUGAAAAAAAUUCUUACAGUUUUACCUAAUGAGCAAAUCGUAAUUCAAAACAAAGGAUAAUAUAUUGCCAGAAGGCCUUUCUAAAAAGUACAUCUAUUGAUCAAUUUUUUUUUUUUUUUUAGAAAAAAUGUGAGUAGGAGAAGAAAAAAUGGGAGGUGGGGAAUAAAACGCUCAUUAACAAGGUGAAAGUUUGGGUAACCAAUCAACUGA